AGCGUCCGUAGCUGGUUUGAUAUGUCUCUGGUGAAAUACGACAGCAAACUGUCGAAAUGGCUGGAGAUACUAUCAGACUCGAGACCGGGAGAGGUUAGGAGUAUUUCACGGGUAAGAGUAAAAUCUUUUAAUCCGUGAAGGACCACCUGUGGCGAAGGCACGGGUAAGAGUAAAAUCUUUUAAUCCGUGGAGGACCACCUGUGGC
rnacentral:rRNA from 1 species